GACUAUCUCCCUACAAAGGCCAGCAAACGGAGACCUAGAGAAGCUAAAUGACUUCUAAGUAACUAGUGAAGAGCUGCAACUACCAGCCCAUCUCUCCAGUUCUGAGGGGCCACAUUCUUUCCAUUAGGUUUGAAGAAGCAGAGGGAAUGCCUCUUCGAUUUUAUUGUUUGUUUAUUUUUUUUCUGUUUAUAAAGAUUUUUUUUUUUUUUUUUGCAUUGAGCAGGAAGGUUUUGUGUGUGUUUUUUCUUUCUGUCUUUCUUUCCUUCUAGAGAUUUUGUAAGAAGAAAUGAGUUUCCUUGUCCAAUUCAGUAUAUUUGCUGGUCACCUAUUGGGAGUAAAUUAGCAUAUGUGUAUCAGAACAAUAUCUAUUUGAAACAAAGACCAGAAAACCCACCUUUCCAAAUAACAUAUAAUGGAAAAGAAAAUAAAAUAUUUAAUGGAACCCAAGACUGGGUUUAUGAAGAGGAAACACUUGCUACAAAAUAUGUUUUCUGGUGGUCUCCAAGUGGAAAGUUUUUGGUAUAUGCAGAGUUUAAUGAUACAGAAAUUCCAGUGAUUGCCUAUUCCUAGUAUGGUGAUGAG